rnacentral:rRNA from 1 species
AUUGAACGCUGGCGGCAGGCCUAACACAUGCAAGUCGAGCGGAUGAGAGGAGCUUGCUUCUCGAUUCAGCGGCGGACGGGUGAGUAAUGCCUAGGAGUCUGCCUGGUAGUGGGGGACAACGUUUCGAAAGGAACGCUAAUACCGCAUACGUCCUACGGGAGAAAGCAGGGGACCUUCGGGCCUUGCGCUAUCAGAUGAGCCUAGGUCGGAUUAGCUAGUUGGUGAGGUAAUGGCUCACCAAGGCGACGAUCCGUAACUGGUCUGAGAGGAUGAUCAGUCACACGGGAACGGAGACACGGUCCAGACUCCUACGGGAGGCAGCAGUGGGGAAUAUUGGACAAUGGGCGAAAGCCUGAUCCAGCCAUGCCGCGUGUGUGAAGAAGGUCAUCGGAUUGUAAAGCACUUUAAGUUGGGAGGAAGGGUUGUAGAUUAAUACUCUGCAAUUUUGACGUUACCGACAGAAUAAGCACCGGCUAACUCUGUGCCAGCCGCCGCAGUAAUAC